AUGUACUGGAUCCCCCAGAGCCCCGGUCAGGGACUGGAUCGGCUCAUGGGGAUCACCAACACUGUUGGCAGAACCUACUACGCGCCAUCGGUCAAGGGCCAGUUCAAAAUCUCCAGGGAACACGGGCAGAGCUCGCGGGCGGCCGUGACCCUGCUGGAGUGUGGGGGGGACCUCCAGCCCGCCGGGGGGUCCCUGCGCCUCUUCUGCCGAGGGUCCGGGUUCAGUUUUGGGAAUUUUGACAUGUACUGGAUCCGCCAGAGACCCGGGCAGGGGCUGGAGUGGCUCGCAGGCAUCUACAGCAGUUGUUCCAGCACCGCCUAUGCGCCAUCGGUCAAGGGCCGGUUCAGGAUCUCCAGGGACAACGGGCAGAGCUCGGUGACGCUGACCAUGAACAACCUCAAGGACGAGGAUUCCGCCACCUAUUUCUGUGCCAAGAGUGUUCGUGCUGGUGCUGGUGCUAAUACUGCGAGAGAUUUGGGGGAAAACUGGACAAGUCUGGGGGCAAUGGUUGGGAUUGGAGGGACGAGGCCGAGCUCAGAGUGA